UACGUAGGGGGCUAGCGUUGUCCGGAAUCAUUGGGCGUAAAGAGCGUGUAGGCGGUCCGGUAAGUCCGCUGUGAAAGUCGGGGGCUCAACCCUCGAAUGCCGGUGGAUACUGUCGGGCUAGAGUGCGGAAGAGGCGAGUGGAAUUCCUGGUGUAGCGGUGAAAUGCGUAGAUAUCGAGAGGAACACCUGCGGCGAAGGCGGGUUGCUGGGCUGACACUGACGCUGAGGCGCGAAAGCGUGGGUAGCGAACAGG
rnacentral:rRNA from 1 species